GCCGGGAUGGCGGAAUGGGUAGACGCAGCGGACUUAAAAUCCGCUGGGCCGUUGAUGGCCCGUCCGGGUUCGAGUCCCGGUCCCGGCA
rnacentral:tRNA from 1 species